rnacentral:rRNA from 1 species
UACGUAGGGUGCAAGCGUUGUCCGGAAUUAUUGGGCGUAAAGAGCUCGUAGGCGGUUUGUCGCGUCGAAUGUGAAAACCCGGGGCUCAACCCCGGGCCUGCAUUCGAUACGGGCAGACUAGAGUUCGGCAGGGGAGACUGGAAUUCCUGGUGUAGCGGUGAAAUGCGCAGAUAUCAGGAGGAACACCGGUGGCGAAGGCGGGUCUCUGGGCAACAACUGACGCUGAGGAGCGAAAGCGUGGGGAGCGAACAGG